UUUAAUUUUUUAAUGUCUCUAGGGUUACAUGAUGAGUAGGAAUAUCUCUAUCAUGUCAUUUCUGAAGACGCACACAUGUAUACAUGUGUCCUAUAGGAUGACUUUGACAUCUGGGAUCCAUGUAAGAUUCAGGAGGAAUUUGUGGUCCAUUAAAUAGAUCCUGAACAGAGAUCUGAAUGCCUUUUAAAGGGAUUGGCCCUGGAACCUGUCUUAUUUAGC